rnacentral:rRNA from 2 species
GUCGAGCGGACCUUUUAAAGCUUGCUUUUGAAAGGUCAGCGGCGGACGGGUGAGUAACACGUGGGCAACCUGCCUGUAAGACUGGGAUAACUUCGGGAAACCGGAGCUAAUACCGGAUAAUAUAAGGAACCUCCUGGUUCUUUAUUGAAAGAUGGUUUCGGCUAUCACUUACAGAUGGGCCCGCGGCGCAUUAGCUAGUUGGUGAGGUAACGGCUCACCAAGGCGACGAUGCGUAGCCGACCUGAGAGGGUGAUCGGCCACACUGGGACUGAGACACGGCCCAGACUCCUACGGGAGGCAGCAGUAGGGAAUCUUCCACAAUGGACGAAAGUCUGAUGGAGCAACGCCGCGUGAGCGAUGAAGGCCUUCGGGUCGUAAAGCUCUGUUGUUAGGGAAGAACAAGUGCGAGAGUAACUGCUCGCACCUUGACGGUACCUAACCAGAAAGCCACGGCUAACUACGUGCCAGCAGCCGCGGUAAUACGUAGGUGGCAAGCGUUGUCCGGAAUUAUUGGGCGUAAAGCGCGCGCAGGUGGUCCUUUAAGUCUGAUGUGAAAGCCCACGGCUCAACCGUGGAGGGUCAUUGGAAACUGGGGGACUUGAGUGCAGAAGAGGAAAGUGGAAUUCCAAGUGUAGCGGUGAAAUGCGUAGAGAUUUGGAGGAACACCAGUGGCGAAGGCGACUUUCUGGUCUGUAACUGACACUGAGGCGCGAAAGCGUGGGGA